rnacentral:pre_miRNA from 1 species
CGACAGUUAUUUCCUCGGCAGUUAACUGCAGCCGGUUUUUUAAAUCUUCGGCAGUUAACUGCUGAGGGGGAA